rnacentral:rRNA from 1 species
AGCAGCCGCGGUAAUUCCAGCUCCAAUAGCGUAUAUUAAAGUUGUUGCAGUUAAAAAGCUCGUAGUUGAAUUUCGGGACCAAUUUGUUGGUCGUGCCUCGGUACGUACUGAUAUUAUUGGUUUCUCCCUUCUGAAGAACCAUGAUGCCAUUAAUUUGGUGUCGUGGGGAAUCAGGACUGUUACUUUGAAAAAAUUAGAGUGUUUAAAGCAGGCUUUCGCUUGAAUACAUUAGCAUGGAAUAAUGAAAUAGGACGUUUGAUUCUAUUUUGUUGGUUUCUAGGAUCGACGUAAUGAUUAAUAGGGAUAGUUGGGGGCAUUAGUAUUCAAUUGUCAGAGGUGAAAUUCUUGGAUUUAUUGAAGACUAACUACUGCGAAAGCAUUUGCCAAGGAUGUUUCAUUAAUCAAGAACGAAAGUUAGGGGAUCGAAGACGAUCAGAUACCGUCGUAGUCUUAACCAUAAACUAUGCCGACUAGGGAUCGGAUGAUGUUAAUUUUUAAUGACUCAUUCGGCGCCUUACGG